rnacentral:tRNA from 1 species
GCUGGAUAGAGCAUCAGACUACGAAUCUGAGGGUCGGGCGUUCGAAUCGCUCUGGGUGCACCA